AGAGUUUGAUCAUGGCUCAGAACGAACGCUGGCGGCAGGCCUAACACAUGCAAGUCGAGCGCCCCGCAAGGGGAGCGGCGGACGGGUGAGUAACACGUGGGAAUUUUCCUCAAGGUACGGAACAACUCAGGGAAACUUGGGCUAAUACCGUAUGAUGCAGAGAUGCCAAAGAUUUAUCGCCUUGGGAUAAGCCCGCGUCAGAUUAGGUAGUUGGUGGGGUAAUGGCCUACCAAGCCUGUGAUCUGUAGCUGGUCUGAGAGGACGAUCAGCCACAUUGGGACUGAGACACGGCCCAAACUCCUACGGGAGGCAGCAGUGGGGAAUCUUGCGCAAUGGGCGAAAGCCUGACGCAGCCAUGCCGCGUGAAUGAUGAAGGUCUUAGGAUUGUAAAGUUCUUUCGCCCGUGACGAUGAUGACGGUAACGGGAGAAGAAGCCCCGGCUAACUUCGUGCCAGCAGCCGCGGUAAUACGAAGGGGGCUAGCGUUGUUCGGAAUUACUGGGCGUAAAGCGCGCGUAGGCGGUUUUGCAAGCCAGAGGUGAAAUGCCCGAGCUCAACUUGGGAAUUGCCUUUGGGACUGUGAGGCUUUGAGGACGAGAGAGGUGAGUGGAAUUCCCAGUGUAGAGGUGAAAUUCGUAGAUAUUGGGAAGAACACCGGUGGCGAAGGCGGCUCACUGGCCAGUUUCUGACGCUAAAGCGCGAAAGCGUGGGGAUCAAACAGGAUUAGAUACCCUGGUAGUCCACGCUGUAAACGAUGAGUGCUAGGCGUCGGCACGCUUGCGUGUCGGUGCCGCAGCUAAC
rnacentral:rRNA from 1 species